rnacentral:piRNA from 1 species
UAAAUGUGACCAAGCCUUCUGUACU